GCGUAGGUCUAGAUGUUACAUCACAGUGAGUUAGCGUAGGUCUAGAUGUUACAUCACAGUGAGUUAGCGUAGGUCUAGAUGUUACAUCACAGUGAGUUAGCGUAGGUCUAGAUGUUACAUCACAGUGAGUUAGCGUAGGUCUAGAUGUUACAUCACAGUGAGUUAGCGUAGGUCUAGAUGUUACAUCACAGUGAGUUAGCGUAGGUCUAGAUGUUACAUCACAGUGAGUUAGCGUAGGUCUAGAUGUUACAUCACAGUGAGUUAGCGUAGGUCUAGAUGUUACAUCACAGUGAGUUAGCGUAGGUCUAGAUGUUACAUCACAGUGAGUUAGCGUAGGUCUAGAUGUUACAUCACAGUGAGUUAGCG